GGAGUACAACUCAAACAAGCUCUUUUCUGUUUGUUCCAUUUGAGGAAGAGAUCAUACCAAUUGCCAAUAUCCAACAACAACAUCCUUUAAAUCCAUCUUUGCUGCUGCUUUCUGGAUACUGAUACAGUUAUCUUUAGUUGCUUUGAUAUCAGGUAUUUUUUGUCAUGAAAUGCUAAGAAAAAGACCAGAAAGAAGAUUAAACACCGCAUGAAACAAGCAUCAUCGUUAGCCAAUAUGUGAAUACGUUUCCCAUAUGUGCAUCGGAAAUGAAAGUAGAGCUAAAGGGAUGCUUAAAUGUCAAAAGGGCACUCGAGAACGGUGAAAAGGAGAAGCCGGGCAAAAGCCAGCUCGACCAGGCUUUAUCCAGGUGAGGCCAGCUUAAAGCCAGGCCUAACCAAGCUUUAUCCAGGUGAAGCCAGCUUAAAGCCAGGCCUAGGCAGGUAUCCAGGCAACACCAGGCCUAAGGCCAGGACCAGUCCGAGUUUUGAAGGUUUUUAUUGUUUCCCGAUUUGACUAGGAGUUGGCUCACACGUUUAGGGCUUGUCCCAAACAUAUAAAUAGACCCAAAAAUGCCACUUUGAAGGACUUUUGCAAUCGGAGACAAGAAAUAGCUCGUGGAACACUACUUGGGAGUUGAAAACAUUAAUUUCUACAUCUCUUUAUCCUUACUCUGUAAUUUAAUUAUGCAAAUUACUUUGGA